UGAGGAAUAUUGGUCAAUGGGCGCAAGCCUGAACCAGCCAUCCCGCGUGAAGGAAGACUGCCCUAUGGGUUGUAAACUUCUUUUCCGGUGGAAUAAAAUCCCGAACGUGUUCGGGACUGAAGGUACACUGGGAAUAAGCAUCGGCUAACUCCGUGCCAGCAGCCGCGGUAAUACGGAGGAUGCGAGCGUUAUCAGGAUUUAUUGGGUUUAACGGGUGCGUAGGCGGAUUAGUAAGUCAGUGGUGAAAACCUGCAGCUUAACUGUAGAACGGCCAU
rnacentral:rRNA from 1 species